rnacentral:rRNA from 1 species
GUACACACCGCCCGUCGCUCCUACCGAUUGGGUGUGCUGGUGAAGUGUUCGGAUUGACUUCAGCGGUGGGCAACCUCUGCYGUCGUUGAGAAGAUCAUUAAACCCUCCCACCUAGAGGAAGGAGAAGUCGUAACAAGGUCUCCGUAGGUGAACCUGCAGAAGGAUCA